GAGGAUGGCGGACGGGUGAGUAACGCGUAAGGAACUUGCCUCUUGGACUGGGACAACUGUUGGAAACGACAGCUAAUACCGGAUAUUAUGAGAUUCUCGCAUGAGAAACUUAUGAAAGCUAUAUGCGCCAAGAGAGAGCCUUGCGUUCCAUUAGCUAGUUGGUGGGGUAACGGCCCACCAAGGCGACGAUGGAUAGCCGGCCUGAGAGGGUGAACGGCCACAAGGGGACUGAGACACGGCCCUUACUCCUACGGGAGGCAGCAGUGGGGAAUAUUGGACAAUGGGCCACAAGCCUGAUCCAGCAAUUCUGUGUGCACGAUGAAGGUCUUCGGAUUGUAAAGUGCUUUCAGUUGGGAAGAAGAAAGUGACGGUACCAACAGAAGAAGCGACGGCUAAAUACGUGCCAGCAGCCGCGGUAAUACGUAUGUCGCAAGCGUUAUCCGGAUUUAUUGGGCGUAAAGCGCGUCUAGGCGGAAAAAUAAGUCUGAUGUUAAAAUGCGGGGCUCAACUCCGUAUUGCGUUGGAAACUGUUUUUCUAGAGUACUGGAGAGGUGGGCGGAACUACAAGUGUAGAGGUGAAAUUCGUAGAUAUUUGUAGGAAUGCCGAUGGAGAAGUCAGCUCACUGGACAGAUACUGACGCUGAAGCGCGAAAGCGUGGGGAGCAAACA
rnacentral:rRNA from 1 species